GGAGAGAUGACCGAGUGGCUGAAGGUGCACGCUUGGAAAGCGUGUGUACGGGUAACCGUACCGUGGGUUCGAAUCCCACUCUCUCCGCCA
rnacentral:tRNA from 1 species